rnacentral:rRNA from 1 species
GGCGAACGCUGGCGGCGUGCUUAACACAUGCAAGUCGAACGGAAAGGCCCUGCUUUUGUGGGGUGCUCGAGUGGCGAACGGGUGAGUAACACGUGAGUAACCUGCCCUUGACUUUGGGAUAACUUCAGGAAACUGGGGCUAAUACCGGAUAGGAGCUCCUGCUGCAUGGUGGGGGUUGGAAAGUUUCGGCGGUUGGGGAUGGACUCGCGACUUAUCAGCUUGUUGGUGGGGUAGUGGCUUACCAAGGCUUUGACGGGUAGCCGGCCUGAGAGGGUGACCGGCCACAUUGGGACUGAGAUACGGCCCAGACUCCUACGGGAGGCAGCAGUGGGGAAUAUUGCACAAUGGGCGGAAGCCUGAUGCAGCAACGCCGCGUGCGGGAUGACGGCCUUCGGGUUGUAAACCGCUUUCGCCUGUGACGAAGCGUGAGUGACGGUAAUGGGUAAAGAAGCACCGGCUAACUACGUG